UCUACUACGGUUAACCUACCAAAAUUAGCCGGACGCUUGCACCUACGAGCGAUUCCUAGUGCCCCUCGAUCCCCUCGAGACACAGGGCUCCUCUCCCGAGCGAGGUCCCGAUCCGCUCCUCCCCUCUCCUGAGGAUACGCAACCGCCGCCUUCGUCGAAUUCGCCGUUGUCGAUCUGACGAUCCGGGCAGCACAGCCGCCGCUACCGCCGUCGAUCUGCCUAUCCAGGCAGACGCAGCCGUCAUGGAUCACGAGAACGCCGGCGCCGCCGGCGCCUCGAAUACGUCGCCCCGCUCGGCAUGGAUGGCCACCCCAAGACAUGGAUAAGCUCUCGUGAUCCCCACCCCACCCCUCUCAUCCCCUGAAUCCAUAUCCUCCUUCCCGUCUUGAUCCCGCCCAUGAUCUGAUCAGGAAGCUGCCCACGAUCUGAUCCCCUGGUUUCUUAUCCGGUUAUCCUCCUCUCUUCUCUCGCACGGGCGUUCUAGCAACCCCCAUCUUCGGUGUGGCAACGUUGCUGACAUCGUCGCGGCCUCCCGCAAUUCCAGGCUUGGCCUUCCUCAACUCCAUGUGCGGCUGACGAGGUGGUCUUCUCCAGAGGUGGUCUGCUCGUGCUCUCCUGGUUCUUCCAUAACAACGAGGGGUAGUGCCGGUCGUGGCUCAGCAGGAUAGCAUAAGCUUGCCCUUGUUCUUUUGUGUUUGAAUCAGAUUUGUUGGUUCUUAGUUUUACAUGCACCUAUCAAUCUUUCUUCUGUAUGCAGGUUACACACCUGAUGAUGUUUACGGCGAGGCGCAGGAAUAAGCAGAGGCCGAGGAAGUGUGGGCACGCGCGAGGAAGGUUCAGCGGGCUGCAGAAGUCGGGCCACGCCCGGAGCGCCGCGCCAACGCAUGUGUGCGUGGUCGGUGGGUUGGCCAAGAUCUGCAUUCUGCGACUUCGUCUUCACCAUGGACACAAGCAAGGACUGAUUCGUGGGUCUUGGUAGUGGUGCCGAGCAUCGGCAGAUCGAAGUGGUCGAAGUCGCGGUUAAUCGACCAGGACGAGACAUGCAUCUUGGAGCUAGCGCGGAGGGGGAAAGAAGCAGGUUGGUCUGGCCCGACCUCACAAAUGAAUUGGUAUGUCCAGUUCUUCCCAUGAAGGUCACAUGCCUAACUUCGUGCUAGACAUUGCUAACUCGGCCACUUGAUGUUAAACUCUGUAUGCAUACUUGACCUAGCUAACUCCAAGAUUCGAUGUGUUAAAUUAAAGUACCAAUCAGGCAGGUUCACCACUUUGUACGUGUGUGCUCUUGCAUUGCUUACUAGAUCUUGUUGUAUAUGAUGGUCCAUUGUCAGCUAUACAACUUCUGAAUUCUGUCAAGUUCAGUUCAGAUUUGAUUUUUUUUCACCUCUUUUUGCAUGGACAGUGUGUCUGGUGUUUAAAUGAUGGCUACUUGAAAUUCAUAGGCAUUGUGAGGUUAGAAAGGAUUCCUUUUUGACUAUUUUUUCAGUUUGGUUCAAAGUUGUUAGCUGCUACACCUACACGUGGAAAACGGCAUUCUAAAAUUGUAAAGUUGCUGGGGCAACAACCUGCUGCUGGCGGGGAAGCAAGUCGCCUUCUGGGGCGGGCGGGGUAACAACGGCAGGGACCAGCCCCUGUCCGUCUUUGGGAUCCCGAAGUACCAUUACAAAAGGCUACCAAAAAGGUCACAACGAUUCUGUGCCAUGGAUCAUUUGGUCUUGUGUACAAGGCUAUAACGGCUACUGGUGAAGUCAUGGCGGAAAAGGUUCUUGCGACGCCGCUGCUACUUGGUGCCCGACGCACCCAAGGCAUCGGUUGCCGUCCCUGUUCUCCCGGUGGCCCUCUCGUCAUGCAUUCAAUUGGUCGAGUAGUUCGUCACAGCCGCUGAGGAACGGGACCAUAGCAAACCAUUGCAAUGCGGCAACCCAAAUUUCAAUUCCACGGUGUUCUGUGCGCAUCAGUAAGUUGUUUAUCUUGCUUUCACUUUCAAAUUCCUUGCUGAAUCACUACAAGCAUGUGUUCCUAUCUCCUACAUGUCUCUAAAUUCUAAGAUGUGAAAUUAUGAAUAUUUUUCUGUAAUAUAUUUCAUGGUUUUGUGGCUUAUGCCUUGCAAGAUUUUUGCCAAUGCGGAAGUGCACAAUCCUUUUGAAUUUAUAUAAUUUAUAUCCAUUCUAUUGAGGUGGAAUGUACCUUGCAGCUUAUCAUGUGUGGUGUAAAAGAGAAUGCAUGUAAGAUCAAACAAGCUUAUCAUCGCAGAGUCGCAUCUUGCAGAGUCUUUGACCAUAAUUGAUCUGAAGCUGCAUUUUGGCAAUUUUAUUUUAUAACUUAGUGGCUAUUAUUGUAUAAGACUGCUCACUUCUCUCGUAAGUUUGUUAGCUACCAUGAUCAUCUGUUGGUAUAGAUAAUUAUUUGGAUGACAUUACUUGACAACAAAAAUUAAUUUUAUGAAGCUAAGCACAUUGAGUCAUGUAUUUUUCCUCUUCAACAUAAGAACAAGAGGAGAAAAUAAUGGAUGGAGGAAGAAGAGUGAUUUUAUGGUACAAAAAUGUUGGCAAUGUUUCAUUAAACUAUGUUAUCUGAUGUGCUUGAUUCUUCCAUAGGUACAUGUUUGACAUACUUAAUGUUAAUAUUGAACCACCAGAAUAUAUUACUACAUGAUGGAAUGAGAUGAGAUCUCAACGUCCAGACUGCGGUUGAUCCAUUAUGCACCAUGAAAAAUAUAAUAACUCUGAGGACCUUGUAUGUAUAUCUGAUCUCAAUUGCACAUGUGAAAAGGAUGUGUGAACUGUACCUAACCUCUUGUAGGAUUUGUGGGAGAUUGCCAGCGAGCCUCAUGGUGAAGUUCUUCUGCAAUGAUGCCGAGGAUUUGAUCUUGGCUGGCAUGGACCAAUUGGUGGCGAUGUCACCUGGUGGCAACAGGGUGUACUCCUGGAUGGGGGUGUUGUCCGGUGGCAGCAGGGUGCGGCAACAUACAAGAAAAGGAAAAGUGGGAGGGUGGAAUAUACCGAAAUGGGAGUAUCCAUGGUGCAGGACAGGAGGACGAACGGAAUGGGAACCUUGAAGAUAAUAAUUGGUGGAAGAGCAGCAAAUGCUAUCUGUUAUUUGCCAAUGGCUGGCGUGGACCGGCUGGUGUACUCCUGGAUGGCGAUGUCGCCUGGUGGCAACAAGGUGUACUCUUGGAAGGGGGUGCCAUCCAGUGGCAGUGGGGUGCGCAACGUACACUAAAAGGAAAAGUGGGAGAGUGGAAAAUACCGAAAUGGGAGUAUCCAAAGAAGAUGAGGUACUAGGAAGCAUGUUACAUAGGGAGGUGGGACUGGAGAACGAACGGAAUGGGAACCUUGACGUUUAUAAUUGGCCAAAGAGCAACCAGUGCUAACAGUUAUUUGCUUGCAAGAACAAGUUGUGUUAUAGAACUGUUGCCAUGGUGCUCAUGUCAAGUGUAGCAGUUGAUUAAAAAGUUUACCCUCUGAAUCUUUAUUUGUUGUUGUAUGGAGUAUAACCAUAAAUUUGUGUGCUCUACAGUGGUGGAGUAAAUGAGCCAGGAUUAAGUUCAAAA